CAAGCGCGAGAAGGGCGUUUGGUGAAUGCCUUGGCAGCAAGAGGCGAUGAAGGACGUGAUACUCUGCGAUAAGCGCUGGUGAGCCGAGAAUAGGCUUUGACCCAGCGAUUUCCGAAUGGGGCAACCCACCUGAUACUUCGUUAUCACUGCACUCCGGUGCGGCUGAUAGCGGGGUGAACCAGGUACUUAUGACCUGAAUACAUAGGGUUAUAAGAGCAAACCCGGGGAACUGAAACAUCUAAGUACCCGGAGGAAAGGACAUCAACAGAUACUCCCCUAGUAGUGGCGAGCGAACGGGGACCAGCCGAGCCGUGAGAGUGAGAAGAACGACCUGGAAAGGUCGGCCAUAGCGGGUGACAGCCCCGUAUUCGAAGCUCGAUCGGACGCAUCAAGUAGGGCGGGACACGUGAAAUCCUGUUCGAAGAUCGGGGGACCACCCUCGAAGGCUAAGUACUCCUUGCUGACCGAUAGUGAACCAGUACCGUGAGGGAAAGGUGAAAAGCACCCCGACGAGGGGAGUGAAAAAGUACCUGAAACCGAACGCCUACAAACAGUCGGAGGCUCCUUGAGGGCUGACGGCGUACCUUUUGUAUAAUGGGUCAUCGACUUGGUCUCACGAGCAAGCUUAAGCCGUUAGGUGUAGGCGCAGCGAAAGCGAGUCUUAAUAGGGCGUCAGAGUUCGUGGGAUCAGACCCGAAACCGAGUGAUCUAGGCAUGUCCAGGAUGAAGGUGAGGUAACACUUACUGGAGGUCCGAACCCACACCUGUUGAAAAAGGUCGGGAUGAGGUGUGCCUAGGGGUGAAAGGCCAAUCAAACUCGGAGAUAGCUGGUUCUCCGCGAAAUCUAUUUAGGUAGAGCGUCAGACGAAUACCUACGGGGGUAGAGCACUGCAUGGGUAAUGGGGGCCCACAGCCUUACUGAUCCUAAGCAAACUCCGAAUACCGUAGAGUACUAUCUGGCAGACACACGGCGGGUGCUAACGUCCGUCGUGGAGAGGGAAACAACCCUGACCUGCAGCUAAGGCCCCUAAUUCGUGGCUAAGUGGGAAAGCAUGUGAGACGGCCAAAACAACCAGGAGGUUGGCUUAGAAGCAGCCAUCCUUUAAAGAUAGCGUAACAGCUCACUGGUCUAAAUUUAAGCUGUCUUGCGGCGAAGAUGUAACGGGGCUCAAGCCACGAGCCGAAGCUCAGGACUGCAUAUGCAGUGGUAGCGGAGCGUAGUGUGACAUAGCACCACGCCUCCUCGUGCAUCCCUCGGGGUGCAUUGGAGGCUCUGGUGCUUUCUGUGAAGCCGGCGCGUGAGCGAUCCGGUGGAGAGAUCACUAGCGAGAAUGAUGACAUGAGUAGCGACAAACAGGGUGAGAGACCCUGUCGCCGAAAGUCCAAGGGUUCCUGCUUAAAGCUAAUCUGAGCAGGGUAAGCCGACCCCUAAGGCGAGGCCGAAAGGCGUAGUCGAUGGGAACCAGGUUAAUAUUCCUGGGCCAGAUGGAAGUGACGGAUCUCGAGGGUUGUUCGUUCUUAUCGGAUUGAACGGGCCGCUUAGAGGUUCCUGGAAAUAGCUCCAUCAUGAGAUCGUACCCUAAACCGACACAGGUGGACUGGUAGAGAAUACCAAGGCGCUUGAGAGAACGAUGUUGAAGGAACUCGGCAAAAUACCUCCGUAAGUUCGCGAGAAGGAGGCCCAGUUUCUAGGCAACUAGUGGCUGGGGGCACAAACCAGGGGGUGGCGACUGUUUACUAAAAACACAGGGCUCUGCGAAGUCGCAAGACGACGUAUAGGGUCUGACGCCUGCCCGGUGCCGGAAGGUUAAAAGGAGAGGUGCAAGCCUUGAAUUGAAGCCCCGGUAAACGGCGGCCGUAACUAUAACGGUCCUAAGGUAGCGAAAUUCCUUGUCGGGUAAGUUCCGACCUGCACGAAUGGCGUAACGACUUCCCCGCUGUCUCCAACAUCGACUCAGCGAAAUUGAAUUGCCUGUCAAGAUGCAGGCUUCCCGCGGUUAGACGGAAAGACCCCGUGCACCUUUACUACAGCUUCACACUGGCAUCAGGCCAGGCAUGUGCAGGAUAGGUGGUAGGCUUUGAAGCCGUGACGCCAGUCGCGGUGGAGCCAUCCUUGAGAUACCACCCUUGCCUUGCUUGAUGUCUAACCGCGGACCGUCAUCCGGUUCCGGGACCCUGUGUGGCGGGUAGUUUGACUGGGGCGGUCGCCUCCCAAAGAGUAACGGAGGCGCGCGAAGGUUGGCUCAGAGCGGUCGGAAAUCGCUCGUUGAGUGCAAUGGCAGAAGCCAGCCUGACUGCGAGACUGACAAGUCGAGCAGAGUCGAAAGACGGCCAUAGUGAUCCGGUGGUCCCGCGUGGAAGGGCCAUCGCUCAACGGAUAAAAGGUACGCCGGGGAUAACAGGCUGAUGGUGCCCAAGAGUCCAUAUCGACGGCACCGUUUGGCACCUCGAUGUCGGCUCAUCUCAUCCUGGGGCUGGAGCAGGUCCCAAGGGUACGGCUGUUCGCCGUUUAAAGAGGUACGUGAGCUGGGUUUAGAACGUCGUGAGACAGUUCGGUCCCUAUCUGCCGUGGGUGUAGGAUACUUGAGAGGAGUUGCCCCUAGUACGAGAGGACCGGGGUGAACGAUCCACUGGUGGACCAGUUGUCAUGCCAAUGGCAGUGCUGGGUAGCUAUGAUCGGACAGGAUAACCGCUGAAGGCAUCUAAGCGGGAAGCCCCCCUCGAAACAAGGUAUCCCUGAGGACCGUGGUAGACCACCACGUCGAUAGGCCGGAGAUGUAAGCGCAGCAAUGUGCUCAGUUGACCGGUACUAAUUGUCCGAUAGGCUUGAUUUGAUCCAGUGGAAGGCCGGCGCCUCGACGCGUCCGACCGACACGAUCACAAAGUAUACACCAAGGUGUACAUGACUUGGAAAGAACGCCGGAACAGUUCGAUCGUCCCGGCAUUCGAUAUUCCGGACGACGGU
rnacentral:rRNA from 1 species